CGCUACCCCAAAGAAGUCCGUUUCCAUGGUCUCUCUGAACUCCACCCUCUGUGAUUCCUGUGAUAACUCCUGCCUUAGUGCUCAGCUCUACCAGACAGCGGGAGGAGGAAAUGAGACAUGAUGUUCCACCUCACCUCCAGCCCCAAGGAAUGAAGCCAGCAGUCUAUGGACUGAGACCUCUGAAAAUGAAGACAAGACGGCCAUCCAUGACACAAGGACACAGCCAUCCUCAGAAACUGACCCUUGAUCUGGGCCUUCCGUUCCCCAGCACCAGGAGAAAACUGUCAUCUAAGCCACCCAAUCUGUGAUAUCUCAUGUCAUCCCAGCUGAGAUGGCACUGGUGGCCUCAGCAGAAGCUUUGCUGACAUCCUUCAAGAGGAAUGAUAAAAGACACAUGGUAUGAAAACUACAGAGGCUGAGAAAAACCCUGAGUACCUCAAAGGCCCAAGGAUUCACCUUUAUUAUUAUUUUCUCAUUGCGAUUAUUAUGAUAAAAUAAUUAAAAUAAUUGAGUCACUUA